UGGACUGCACCAGAAGUGGUUAGCCUAACGCAAGAGGGCGAUCACCACGGUGUGGUUCAUGACUGGGGUGAAGUCGUAACAAGGUAGCCGUAGGGGAACCUGCGGCUGGAUCACCUCCUUAAACGA
rnacentral:rRNA from 2 species